AACGAACGCUGGCGGCAUGCCUAACACACGCAAGUCGAACGAGACCUUCGGGUCUAGUGGCGCACGGGUGCGUAACGCGUGGGAACCUGCCCUUAGGUUCGGAAUAACUCCCCGAAAGGGGUGCUAAUACCGGAUAAUGUCUUCGGACCAAAGAUUUAUCGCCUUUGGAUGGGCCCGCGUUGGAUUAGCUAGUUGGUAGGGUAAAAGCCUACCAAGGCGACGAUCCAUAGCUGGUCUGAGAGGAUGAUCAGCCACACUGGGACUGAGACACGGCCCAGACUCCACGGGGGGGAGGAGGGGGGAAAUAUGGAACAAGGGGCGAAACCUGAAUCCACCAAGCCCGGGGGGGGAAUGAGGGCUUAGGGUUUGAAAAGCUUUUUUCCCGGGGAUAAAAAUGACAGAACGGGAAAAAAAAGCCCGGCCAACCCCCU
rnacentral:rRNA from 1 species